UUCCUGUUCGAGGCAUUAAAA
rnacentral:piRNA from 1 species